rnacentral:rRNA from 1 species
UACGUAGGGGGCUGGCGUUUGUCCGGAAUCAUUGGGCGUAAAGCGCGCGUAGGCGGCCCGGUAAGUCCGCUGUAAAAGUCAAAGGCUCAACCUUUGAAUGUCAGUGGAUACUGCCGGGCUAGAGUCCGGAAGAGGCGAGUGGAACUCCUGGUGUAGCGGUGGAAUGCGCAGAUAUCAGGAAGAACACCGACGGCGAAGGCAGCUCGCUGGGACGGUACUGACGCUGAGGCGCGAAAGCGUGGGGAGCGAACAGG